rnacentral:rRNA from 1 species
AUUGAACGCUGGCGGCAGGCCUAACACAUGCAAGUCGAGCGAGCGGCGGACGGGUGAGUAAUGUAUGGGGACUGCCCGAUAGAGGGGGAUAACUACUGGAAACGGUAGCUAAUACCGCAUACUAUCGGAUAACCCAUAUGGGAUUAGCUAGUAGGUGGGGUAAUGGCUCACCUAGGCGACGAUCCCUCGCUGGUCUGAGAGGAUGAGCAGCAAAACUGGGAAUGAGACACGGCCCAGACUCCUACGGAGGAAGCAGUGGGGAAUAGUGCACAAUGGGCGCAAGCCUGAUGCAGACAUGCGGCGUGUGUGAAGAAGGCCCUAGGGUGGUAAAGUACUUUCAGUGGGGAGGCGUUACCUAAAGAAGAAGCACCGGCUAACUCCGUGCCAGCAGCCGCAGUAAUAC